AAAUCUGGCCGUAGAUACUUUGUUAGGUUAUGUGAAGGCUCUAAAACAGAGCAGAAUGGCUUAUUAGGUGAUGAUCAAAUACUUCCAAGAAAACAGAGGCAUCAAAUACAGCUAACAGUGAUACCCAAAGGAGGAAGAUGACUUAACUUGCCAGUGAAAGUUAUCAUUGUCUUUUCCUCCAAUGAGUAUUUCUUUCUAGCAGAAAGAACAAGAGCAGAUUUAUUCUUAAAGAAGAAAGCUUCCAUUUUUCUUUAUUUUAAAUGGGAUAUACCACAGAUUAUUUCUGAUGAGGCUAGCCUAAUCCUUAGACGGAAGAAAUUAGCAUGACCGUCACUGACUUCUCUAUAAAUAGAGCAAUUAUCGGGAGAAAAAUAAGGUCAAAAUGUAUUUACCACUAAUUCAAAAUCUUAGUGAGCCACUGAACAAGUGAUUUGCUAUAACACGGAAAUGUCCUGAGGGUAUGAGUUAAGAAGUAGAGCUAUACAUGCCGCUUCUUGCAAUUUUAUAAAGUCAAAGUAGUUGGAAAUACUGUCUUCCGAGGCUGCAGGAAUAAGGCCAGCUGUUUUUCUGGCAGAUAAAUGAUACAUCUUUCUGAACUUCACAACUCCAUGGCACCCUGUUCAUGAGGGGAUAACUGAUUUAUGGGAGAGAAAAGAUUGGGCAACAAGAGAAUAUAAGAAUGUUAGCUGAAGGGUCUUGAGGUCAUUGCAUCAAUGAUUUUCUGGAGAUGCUGUGACAGCUUCUAUAACGUUUCAGCAGUGGACGGUAUCUAGGAAAAGUUUCAUACUAUGAUGUGGGGGGAUAUGGGGCUAAGCAGUGGGCCUUUUCACAAUGAAACAAAUGAAAUGUCCUUGUUAGACCUCCUGUUGAAAUUGGGUUACUUAUGCUACAAGACAUCCACUGAAAUAUCUCAUGCAGGUCUGUAAUUGCAGACUUUUGUCCAUCCCAUGUGCCUACAUGGCUUCUCUGAGUCUCCAGCAUCCGAUGGGACUCCAGUGCUCAGGGUCUCCAUUGGUCUCUGGCUGAGAUCUGGCUCCAUGCUCAGGACAAAGCCUGCAGUUCCACCAUGGUGUUCACAUAAGGGAUGGCACUUCACCUCCCUCUGUCCUCCCUGUCACCGUGCCAGCUCAGAGACUGCAGAGCCCCUAAGGAAAUCUAUUCCUUCAGGAUUUGCAAGCCAGGUGUUUCAACUAGUGCUUUGAUUUCUGGCCCAGGUCUGCAGACUAAGCAAGAGCCUCAGAAGCUGUAAAUUGACGUUGCUCCAUUGACUUCAGCAGCAUUAAAACCAUUUGCAUGAGCAGACGAUCUGAUCUGCUGUUUUAUAUACCCAUUUUUUUUCCCCUUCAUUGCUUUCUUAGCCUCACCCAUGCCAAAAAUAUUGAAGCUUCCUGGUCUGUCUCUAAAUGAUUGGAGAGUACCAACUCUCCUUAUGACUAAGAACAGGGACAAAAACUGGAGCAAUCUGGGUGGGUUAUACAAAGUGUUCACGGCAAUUGCAGAAUCACAGAAUCACAGAAUGUCAUGGACUGGAGGGACCCUGAAAGAUCACCUCGUCCAAUCCCCCUGCUGGAACAGGAACAUCCAGAUCAGGUCACCCAGGAAGACAUCCAGGCAGGUUUUGAAUGUCUCCAGAGAAGGGGACCCCACAACCUCCUUGGACAUGCUGACCCAGUGCUCUGUUACCCUUAAUGUGAAGGUUUUCUUGUAUUUAUGUAGAACCUCCUAU
ensembl:lncRNA